GGGGAUGUGGCUUAAGUGGUAGUGUGCUCGCUUGGCAUGCGUGAGGCACUGAGUUCAAUUCUCAGCACCACA
rnacentral:tRNA from 1 species